CGAGGGUCACAACAAAAUCUUAAAUUUGCAAUAAAUGCAUCACCUACUUUCUUACAUUUUAUCUCUAUUUAUAAGUUUCAAAAUGGGUCCGAGAUUAGCAAAACCCUAAUAACGACCCAAUCAUGGCUCAUUACCCACUAAGUAAUACUUACUAGUAAUCUUGAUUUGAAGUGAUAUUUUAAGGAUGGUCGUUGUUGGGGGAUG
rnacentral:lncRNA from 1 species